rnacentral:rRNA from 1 species
AGUGAACGCUGGCGGCGUGGAUUAGGCAUGCAAGUCGGGGGAAUCCCAGCAAUGGGGGAACCGGCGUAAGGGGCAGUAAUGCGUGGGUACCUGCCCCGGGGUUCGGGAUAGCCGUCAGAGAUGGCGGGUAAUACCGGAUGACCUCGGGAGAGCAAAGAUUUAUCGCCCCGGGAGGGGCCCACGCGAUAUUAGCUUGUUGGUGAGGUAACGGCUCACCAAGGCGAAGAUGUCUAGCGGGUGUGAGAGCACGACCCGCGCCACUCGCACUGAGACACUGGCGAGACACCUACGGGUGGCUGCAGUCGAGGAUCUUCGGCAAUGGGCGCAAGCCUGACCGAGUGACGCCGCGUGUGCGAUGAAGGCCUUCGGGUUGUAAAGCACUGUCGAGGGGGAGGAAACCCGCAAGGGUUGACCUAUCCCUGGAGGAAGCACGGGCUAAGUUCGUGCCAGCCGCCGCUGUAAUAC